rfam:Ailuropoda melanoleuca scaffold212_33, whole genome shotgun sequence.
GCCUGGCUGGCUCAGUCAGUGGAGCAUGCAACUCAUGAUCUCAGGGUUGUGAGUUCAAGCCCCAUGCUGGGUA